UACGUAGGGGGCGAGCGUUGUCCGGAUUUACUGGGCGUAAAGAGCGCGUAGGCGGAAAUUUAAGCGUGGCCUGAAAGCCCCCGGCUCAACCGGGGAGUGCGGCUGCGAACUGGGUUUCUUGAGGACGAUAGAGGAGAGUGGAAUUCCUGGUGUAGCGGUGAAAUGCGUAGAUAUCAGGAGGAACACCCGAGGCGAAGGCGACUCUCUGGGUCGUACCUGACGCUGAGGCGCGAAAGCGUGGGGAGCGAACGGG
rnacentral:rRNA from 1 species